AUCCCAGAUAAUGGUUCUUGUGAUUAUCUGAUUCAUGAGGGGCAAAGAAUGAGGAUGGGGAGUUCGCUGAUAACAGCUUUAAUUUUAACAAGAAGUUGUUUUAAUAGUACCUCUUCACACAAUA
rfam:Gossypium hirsutum cultivar TM-1 unplaced genomic scaffold scaffold862.1, whole genome shotgun sequence